GACGAACGCUGGCGGCGUGCCUAAUACAUGCAAGUCGAACGCUUCUUUCCUCCCGAGUGCUUGCACUCAAUUGGAAAGAGGAGUGGCGGACGGGUGAGUAACACGUGGGUAACCUACCCAUCAGAGGGGGAUAACACUUGGAAACAGGUGCUAAUACCGCAUAACAGUUUAUGCCGCAUGGCAUAAGAGUGAAAGGCGCUUUCGGGUGUCGCUGAUGGAUGGACCCGCGGUGCAUUAGCUAGUUGGUGAGGUAACGGCUCACCAAGGCCACGAUGCAUAGACGAACUGAGAGGGUGAUAGGCCACACUGGGACUGAGACACGGCCCAGACUCCUACGGGAGGCAGCAGUAGGGAAUCUUCGGCAAUGGACGAAAGUCUGACCGAGCAACGCCGCGUGAGUGAAGAAGGUUUUCGGAUCGUAAAACUCUGUUGUUAGAGAAGAACAAGGACGUUAGUAACUGAACGUCCCCUGACGGUAUCUAACCAGAAAGCCACGGCUAACUACGUG
rnacentral:rRNA from 1 species